GAAAUGCGAUAAGUAAUGUGAAUUGCAGAAUUCAGUGAAUCAUCGAAUCUUUGAACGCACAUUGCGCCCGGCAGCAAUCUGCCGGGCAUGCCUGUCCGAGCGUCAUUUCUGCCCUCGAGCGCGGUUCGGCCCCUAGCGGGCCGGCCGCCGCCCGGUGUUGGGGCGCUGCGGGCCCUCGUGCCCGCAGGCCCUGAAAUGAAGUGGCGGUCCCGCCGCGGCGCCCCCUGCGUAGUAGUAAAGCACCUCGCAUCGGGUCCCGGCGGAGGCCAGCCGUCGUACCUCUCUUUUGAUGGUUUGACCUCGGAUCAGGUAGGGUUACCCGCUGAACUUAAGC
rnacentral:misc_RNA from 1 species